AGAGUUUGAUCAUGGCUCAGAUUGAACGCUGGCGGCAUGCCUUACACAUGCAAGUCGAACGGUAACAGGUUAAGCCGACGAGUGGCGAACGGGUGAGUAAUAUAUCGGAACGUGCCCAGUCGUGGGGGGAUAACCGCUCGAAAGAGCAGCUAAUACCGCAUACGACCUGAGGGUGAAAGCGGGGGAUCGCAAGACCUCGCGCGAUUGGAGCGGCCGAUAUCAGAUUAGCUAGUUGGUGGGGUAAAAGCCCACCAAGGCGACGAUCUGUAGCUGGUCUGAGAGGACGACCAGCCACACUGGGACUGAGACACGGCCCAGACUCCUACGGGAGGCAGCAGUGGGGAAUUUUGGACAAUGGACGCAAGUCUGAUCCAGCCAUGCCGCGUGCGGGAAGAAGGCCUUCGGGUUGUAAACCGCUUUUGUCAGGGAAGAAACGGGCGUCUCUAAUACAGAUGCCUAAUGACGGUACCUGAAGAAUAAGCACCGGCUAACUACGUGCCAGCAGCCGCGGUAAUACGUAGGGUGCAAGCGUUAAUCGGAAUUACUGGGCGUAAAGCGUGCGCAGGCGGUUAUGCAAGACAGAUGUGAAAUCCCCGGGCUCAACCUGGGAACUGCAUUUGUGACUGCAUGGCUAGAGUACGGUAGAGGGGGAUGGAAUUCCGCGUGUAGCGUGAAAUGCGUAGAUAUGCGGAGGAACACCGAUGGCGAAGGCAAUCCCCUGGACCUGUACUGACGCUCAUGCACGAAAGCGUGGGGAGCAAACAGGAUUAGAUACCCUAGUAGUCC
rnacentral:rRNA from 1 species